GCAUAUAUAUAUAUAUAUAUAUAUAUAUAUAUAUAUAUAUAUAUAUACCUGGUUGGUUAUCUCUCGAAUUGAGGAAGACAAUUGUCUUUGUGCGUUUUUGUGCACAAAGACAUCUGUGCUUGUAGAUUUAAGUGGAAAAGCCGAUGCACAGAGACAGUCCCACUCUCUCAGCAUUGGAAGCCUGGGUCCAGUGGCAGGAAAAGUCAUUACACUUGGAGACUUCCUCAGCUGCAUUGGAUGGCCAUGUUGUCUUUUGUGCUCCAACACGCCCUAAGCACUCCACAAUGCCUUGCUGCGUCGCCAUCUCAGCCGUUGAACCUUCUUGUUGGUUUCUUCAGCCUGUUCCGCUGAAACAGUCUUCACAUGCUGGGACUCCUCAUUCCCUGCCUGAGCUCCAGAAAGGAAGAAAGGAAAUGGAAUGCCAGCUGAAGAUAAUGAGAAGGUCACACACAGAGCAGAUGGAGAUCAAUCUGUAGAACACAGAGUGGAACACAAGUGAUCAGGCAGUAAUGCAGUCAGGUUCCCAAGAAUGUUUUUCAAGAGAACAAGGGGUGAAAAGGACUUUGUCUUGGAAACAAGUGGGAGGGAUGGUUUCCUUCCCUGAAACUCUUGUCCUAAUUCUUCUAUGGGAUUCUCAAGAGAUACAAAUCAUGGAAUAUCAUAGGCUCUGAAGAAUAAAAAUGGCGGGGAAUUCA
rnacentral:lncRNA from 1 species